CCCUUAGAUGUUCUGGGCCGCACGCGCGCUACACUGACAGAGUACAAUAAGUGCUCCUGCGUCGAAAGACGUGGGUAAUCUGCCAAACUCUGUCGUGCUGGGGAUAGAUUAUUGCAAUUAUUAAUCUUCAACGAGGAAUGCCUAGUAAGCGCAAGUCAUCAGCUUGCGUUGAUUACGUCCCUGCCCUUUGUACACACCGCCCGUCGCUCCUACCGAUUGAAUGGUCCGGUGAAGCGUUCGGACCGUGGCCUUUGGACGGUUCGCCGUCUGUUGGCUGCGGGAAGUUCGUUAAACCUUAUCAUUUAGAGGAAGGAGAAGUCGUAACA
rnacentral:rRNA from 1 species